rnacentral:lncRNA from 1 species
UUAAACAGCAACAAAAUCUUUUCAUUUUAGCAACUCCAAUCCAAUCUACUCCAACUAGGGAGCUGUCUUUUACUACUGGAUCAAUCAAAGCUUAACAAGUUGCUAAUCCAAUUUACUUAUGGGGCACCUGCCAUUGGAUAUAUCUAUUAUUAUGUUUUAUCUGUUCUAGCUAGGUGUGUUACCUAGAAUAUGAUAACAUAUUGGUCAAAACUUGUUGGAUUCACAAGGUCAUAGGUUUUAUUAAAGAACA